rnacentral:miRNA from 1 species
UGCCACGGGCUGGGCCUUGGGA